rnacentral:misc_RNA from 1 species
GCAAACUUGGUCAUUUAGAGGAAGUAAAAGUCGUAACAAGGUUUCCGUAGGUGAACCUGCGGAAGGAUCAUUAACAAAUUGUCCGCAAUCAUGGAUAAUUUAUCCAUAUCCACCUUGUGUGAACUAGAGAAGUGUUUGUUGGCAGGUUGAGGCCUUUUUCUCCAUCGUUGAGAAUGUCAGUGCCUUCUCGGCCUGCCAAUUUUACUUUUUUAAACAUGUCUAAAUAUCGUCGGUCUGAAACAUAAUUUUAUAUAAUAAAUACAACUUUCAACAACGGAUCUCUUGGCUCUCGCAUCGAUGAAGAACGCAGC